GGGGGCAUUCGUACUGCGACG
rnacentral:miRNA from 1 species